AACGUAGGACACAAGCGUUAUCCGGAGUUACUGGGCGUAAAGGGCGCGUAGGCGGCUUUGUAAGUCGGGGGUGAAAGCCUGUGGCUCAACCACAGAAUUGCCUUCGAUACUGCAUGGCUUGAGACCGGAAGAGGUAAGUGGAACUGCGAGUGUAGAGGUGAAAUUCGUAGAUAUUCGCAAGAACACCAGUGGCGAAGGCGGCUUACUGGUCCGGUUCUGACGCUGAGGCGCGAAAGCGUGGGGAGCAAACAGG
rnacentral:rRNA from 1 species